CUACCCUCGAGUGGGGAAUAACUUCGGGAAACCGAGGCUAAUACCGCAUAAUACCCACGGGUCAAAGGAGCAAUUCGCUUGAGGAGGAGGUCGCGGCCGAUUAGUUAGUUGGCGGGGUAAUGGCCCCACCAAGACGGUGAUCGGUAUCCGGCCUGAGAGGGCGCACGGACACACUGGAACUGAAACACGGUCCAGACUCCUACGGGAGGCAGCAGUGGGGAAUUUUGCGCAAUGGGGGAAACCCUGACGCAGCAACGCCGCGUGGAGGAUGAAGUCUCUUGGGACGUAAACUCCUUUCGAUCGGGACGAUUAUGACGGUACCGGAAGAAGAAGCCCCGGCUAACUUCGUG
rnacentral:rRNA from 1 species